AGGCUCAGAUUGAACGCUGGCGGCAGGCCUAACACAUGCAAGUCGAGCGGAUGAAGGGAGCUUGCUCCUGGAUUCAGCGGCGGACGGGUGAGUAAUGCCUAGGAAUCUGCCUGGUAGUGGGGGAUAACGUCCGGAAACGGGCGCUAAUACCGCAUACGUCCUGAGGGAGAAAGUGGGGGAUCUUCGGACCUCACGCUAUCAGAUGAGCCUAGGUCGGAUUAGCUAGUUGGUGGGGUAAAGGCCUACCAAGGCGACGAUCCGUAACUGGUCUGAGAGGAUGAUCAGUCACACUGGAACUGAGACACGGUCCAGACUCCUACGGGAGGCAGCAGUGGGGAAUAUUGGACAAUGGGCGAAAGCCUGAUCCAGCCAUGCCGCGUGUGUGAAGAAGGUCUUCGGAUUGUAAAGCACUUUAAGUUGGGAGGAAGGGCAGUAAGUUAAUACCUUGCUGUUUUGACGUUACCAACAGAAUAAGCACCGGCUAACUUCGUGCCAGCAGCCGCGGUAAUACGAAGGGUGCAAGCGUUAAUCGGAAUUACUGGGCGUAAAGCGCGCGUAGGUGGUUCAGCAAGUUGGAUGUGAAAUCCCCGGGCUCAACCUGGGAACUGCAUCCAAAACUACUGAGCUAGAGUACGGUAGAGGGUGGUGGAAUUUCCUGUGUAGCGGUGAAAUGCGUAGAUAUAGGAAGGAACACCAGUGGCGAAGGCGACCACCUGGACUGAUACUGACACUGA
rnacentral:rRNA from 1 species